rnacentral:lncRNA from 1 species
UGGCGGGCGCCCCUCCCCCAGCCUCGUUGCCGCCUUGCAGUUUGAUCUCAGACUGCUGUGUUAGCAAUCAGCGAGACUCCGUGGGCAUAGGAACCUCCGAGCCAGGUGCGGGAUGUAAUCUCGUGGUGCACCGUUUUUUAAGCCAGUCCGAAAAGCGCAAUAUUCGGGUGGGAGUGACCCAAUUUUCCAGGUGCGUCCGUCACCCCUUUCUUUGACUCGGAAAGGGAACUCCCUGACCCCUUGCGCUUCCCAAGUGAGGCAAUGCCUCUCCCUGCUUCGGCUCGCACACGGUGCGCGCACCCACUGACCUGUGCCCACUGUCUGGCACUCCCUAGUGAGAUGAACCCGGUACCUCAGAUGGAAAUGCAGAAAUCACCUGUCUUCUGCGUCACUCAAGCUGGGAGCUGUAGACCGGAGCUGUUCCUAUGCGGCCAUCUUGGCUCCUCCCCAGAAUAUGGCCUUUUUAAGAAUGCAGUGGAGGUGAUACUAUGGUCAUAAUGACCAGGGGCUGGGUCAGAAGAACUUCAGAUUGAGCCUCUUGAAACAUUUGCUCUUGGAAUUCUCCCUCUCAGGAAACUAACAGCCUGCUAUGAAGCCCAAGCCACAAAGAGAGGCCAAGGGGAAAUAAACAGAGUGUGAUUAUAUGCAAAACCUACAAGAAUGAGGACCUCCAAACUCAGUGUACAGAGUGAUUUUCUGCUGAAACAAUUGGCUUUUAAAAAAUUGUGUGACUGACCAGCAGCAGUGGCUCACAUCUGUAAUCCCAGCACUUUGGGAGGCCGAGAAAAUAAAAGAGACAUCAGUGUGUGAAUGACGACUUUCUGUUGCUGACUUGGAAGACAGAGGAAUUGGGUCAUGAGCCGAGGAAGGUGGGCAGCUUCUAAAAGGCGGAAAAGUGGCUGAAGUGAGAGGAAGCGAGGAUAUGGCUGACAUUCUCCAAGAAGCAGUGACUUCAGAAGAUGACUGGCAUCUUGAACUUCAGGAAAAUGCUUGGCCUUUUUAACUCUGAAAGUCUGUUUGAAACUCAGAAGAAGAAAAUUAGGUGAAUACAAAACUGCUGCCAAACUUAGAAACUUGGUUAAAUAUCCUGCAGAAAAUAUCAUGGGCUUUUCAGAGUCCAGUUAAAUAUCUACAGAUUAUAUUUCCAGUUUCAUACCUGGGGCAUUAACUCUAUUCAUUUUACUAGCUUUAGUGAAUUUUACUUCUGGAGCAUAACAUUGCAUUGAAAAUGUGUCCUCUAACCUAUGAUAUUUAUGUAUCGUUUAAUAUGAAAUUUAUGAGGUUCCAUUUCUGAUUUCCAAAUGGAUGCAAAUUAGAACACAGGAUAUUUACAUUCUUUCAUUUCUAACCCACAUACAUAAAGUUUGACUUUAAAAUGCCACUGUUCGUGUCUGUUUCAUAGAAGCUCUAGGUAUUUAUACGUCCAUUGUGUCUCUGGCACACUCUGAAUUCCAGUUUUUAAUCUAAUAUUGGGCAGGAAUUGGCUAUAAAAAUACAAUGCCAUUGAGGACAGAGCUGGAUUGCUUUUUUUCUGUUAAUUCUUGAGAACUUUAUAGUUUCUCAGGGAAGUAUAAUUUGUAACCACAUCAUCAUCUAACACUUUUCCUGUCUUUUUUGGAGAUUGACAGUUGAAAAUCUAUAAGAUCUUUUUGCAACUAAGAUCAGGAAAAA